GGACCCGUGGCUUAACUGGAUAGAGCGCUCCGCUACGGACGGAGAGAUUCUAGAUUCGACUUCUAGCGGGUCCACCA
rnacentral:tRNA from 1 species